CUCAUAGCACUUAAACGAUUGGGAAUCGAAGAUCCCACUACGACAUUUAAAAUGGCAGCUAAUGUCUGUGGAAACCCUGGAUGUUUAGGCGCAGGCUAAAGCUAGAGUUCUCUUACCCUUUGAUUACGGGCACCACUUUCCGAUAAAAACAUAGACCUGAAUGGCAUCAUCCAGUAUCCAAGGAAACCAUCUCUUGCAGUGCCCCUGAACAUCAUUCACCAUGGCCAGGAUGGAUUUGCUGUACACAGGAGUGACCUUCUCACCUGCCAUGCCCAUAGGAUGCAUCUUUCAACAUUUUGAGAAUAAAUGGAAGAAAAAGACUUAAAAGUAAAGUACCUUAAAACAUCUGACUUUAAGAGGUCUCUAAGUCCACUGAUGGCAGGAAAAUCUUCAGUGGUUCCAGAGACAAGCUGCUGGAAAUCCUGCACACUUAUUUCCUAGAAGGAAGUGAGCUGAUGAGGAGAGUAAUUCCUUCAGAGAGAUCCUCCCUUUAAAAAACUUUAAAGGACUCCAAAUUAAGCCAUAUCCAUUUCUAGGACCCUAAAGAGAAUCACAAAAGCCAGCGUCACUUGCUCAAUGUUAGGUGAUUUCAGGAGCCUUAAUAAGGGGAGAGCAAAGGGGGGGCAGGAUAGUGAAUAAAUUGUGAGAACCUGCCAAGUAA